GCUCCAAUGGCCUAAUGGUUAGAGCGUCCGCCUCGUAUGCGGGAGGUCGUGGGUUCGAUCCCCGGUCGAGUCA